CCCACGCCGCUGCUCCUGCCUCCCUCUCCUUCUUCCACCUCCCCUCCCCAUUGACGCUGCCUACCUCUCCCUCUCCUUCCGCCUCCUUCGCCAUGGGCGCUCCCCACCUCUCCCCUCCUUCCACCUGAAGCCGUGCUAGCUGCGGGACCCCGAGCGCCGUGCUGCGACGGGCAUCGGGGGGUGCUGGACCUCCGGUGGCCGAGCUGCGACGGACUUCUCUAGUGUCGAGUGCUGGAACCAGCGAUAUCCGAUGCUACUACCGGCUUUGUCGAGUGCUGGAACCAGCUUCAUUUUUUGUUGGAACUUGCUUUUUUUUCUGCUACAACCAUGUUUUGUUUUUGCUGGAACUGGCCCAUGCUUUUGCUACCACCCCCCGCCCAAAUUUUUGCUACUAGGUGAUUUUUGCUGCAACCGAUGAACCAUUUUGCUACAACCGUUUUGAUUUUUUGUUACUACCGGUGUUUGUCGAUUUUUUGCUACAUACAUCUUCUGUUUUUUCCAGUCUUUUUUGCUACAACCAUAUUUUGAUUUUGCUGGAACUGAAGACAUUUUUUGCUACAUCCACCCACGGCGGUGUUGCUCAACGGCGGCGAUAGUUUUUUUUUUCUACAACCGUCUCGGAUUUUUGCUACUACCGGAGAUGCCAUUUGCUACCACCGGAGUUUUUGCUACUACCAGAGUCUUCAUGGAAACAUCAAGAGUUUUUGCUAUCACCCUUUGUUUUUGCUGGAACCAUCCUAAAAUUUUGCUACCACCGUAUUUUGAUUUUGCUGGAACCGGCAUUUUUCACUUCGGUGUCGGUGAUGAAGGCGGGUGGUGUUUUGGUUCGCCGGCGGCGGCGAGGCUGCGAGCGCCGGCGACGAGCAGGGGCAGCGGUGGUCCAAGCGAGAGAAGCGCAUGCCAGAGUGCGGGAUCCCGCGAGCGGCGGUGGCGUCUGCUUUUUGUGUCUCCUCUUUUUUCCCAUGGGGAGGAUGACGAUAGGAGAUGUGGGGCAGAUCUGACGGUUACGCAUGUCCAGAUCGAGUGGCUCUGGUUGGACCGGCCGAAACGUUCCGCCGGUGCGCCGGCGCAGAGUACCGCCCUUUCAGUAUUACAAUAUAAACUACAUGCAGGUGUAUUUUAGAGGAUAGAUUCACUCAUUUUGCUUCGUACGUAUUUUAUAUUGGAAUCUCUAAAAAGGCUUAUAUUUAGGAACGGAGGAAGUAGUUAAGAGGCUAACAGUACCUUCGGCCGACCAAUGAUCAAACUUCGAUUCUACGCUUUGUGUUUUCAUAAAGGCAAAAUAUUCUUUCUAUGUUAGGUAAUAUUUUUGUCGAUAGCGAGGCGUCUACGAUGACAUCGUCAAUAUUACAAGCCGUUGACUUAGUCUCUUAGAUGUUCAUAGGGUAGAAUGUGGGUGCGUAUGUUCACGCUUUAUGCAGGAGGGAGCGACUUCUUCUCGCUUUAUGCCACCCAAAACCUUGUCUCGCUUCAGCGUCGCUACGAAUGGACCAACCCAAGUAACUUCAUGGAGGUGCAUACCUACAGCGGGCAUAGCUAGAUGGAGCUUGUGUGCGUGUGUGCGCUACGGGGAUGCGACCGUGGCUGGGGCGCACCCACAGGACGCGGAGGGCCCGACCAAAGCUCGAGCUUCUCCAUGGCCAUGGCCAUGGCUUUCAGGCUCGAACAUGCAAAUGCAGUUUUUUGCAGUAACGUUUUUUGAUGUGACUUUUUGCAACAUCGACAGUGUUGCAAACGGCGGCGGCGAACGGCAGUUGUGUUUCUGCGAGAUGCAUUGACAACGGCGGCAUUUCUCCACACCAUUUUCAUUACAAUUUUUUUGCAACGUUCUAUAUGUUGCAAAAGUUCUUUCACAACACCACCUGUUGCAAAAAAGGAAGUAAAGAAGGGAAAUAUUUUUAAGCAA